rnacentral:rRNA from 1 species
UACAGAGACUGCAAGCGUUAUUCGGAUUCACUGGGCGUAAAGGGUGCGCAGGCGGCUGGGUGUGUCAGAUGUGAAAUCCCGAGGCUCAACCUCGGAACUGCGUCUGAAACUACUCGGCUAGAGUACUGGAGAGGGCAACGGAAUUCCAGGUGUAGCGGUGAAAUGCUUAGAUAUCUGGAAGAACACCGGUUGCGAAGGCUGUUGCCUGGGCCAUUAUUGACGCUCAUGCACGAAAGCGUGGGGAGCAAACAGGAUUAGAAACCCGAGUAGU